AUACGUAGGGUGCAAGCGUUAAUCGGAAUUACUGGGCGUAAAGCGUGCGCAGGCGGUUUUGUAAGACAGUGGUGAAAUCCCCGGGCUCAACCUGGGAACUGCCAUUGUGACUGCAAGGCUGGAGUGCGGCCGAGGGGGAUGGAAUUCCGCGUGGAGCAGUGAAAUGCGUAGAUAUGCGGAGGAACACCGAUGGCGAAGGCAAUCCCCUGGGCCUGCACUGACGCUCAUGCACGAAAGCGUGGGGAGCAAACAGGAUUAGAUACCCUGGUAGUCCACGCCCUAAACGAUGUCAACUGGUCGUUGGGGAUUUAUUUUCUCAGUAACGAAGCUAACGCGUGAAGUUGACCGCCUGGGGAGUACGGCCGCAAGGUUAAAACUCAAAUGAAUUGACGGGG
rnacentral:rRNA from 1 species